GGGCGAUUAGCUCAGUUGGCUAGAGCGCCGCCCUUACAAGGCGGAAGUCGUUGGUUCAAGUCCGACAUCGCCCA
rnacentral:tRNA from 1 species